GGGGGAUAUUGCACAAUGGAGGAAACUCUGAUGCAGCAAUGCCGCGUGUGUGAAGAAGGCCUUCGGGUUGUAAAGCACUUUUGUCCGGAAAGAAAUCCUUGGCUCUAAUACAGUCGGGGGAUGACGGUACCGGAAGAAUAAGCACCGGCUAACUACGUGCCAGCAGCCGCGGUAAUACGUAGGGUGCGAGCGUUAAUCGGAAUUACUGGGCGUAAAGCGUGCGCAGGCGGUUUGCUAAGACCGAUGUGAAAUCCCCGGGCUCAACCUGGGAACUGCAUUGGUGACUGGCAGGCUAGAGUAUGGCAGAGGGGGGUAGAAUUCCACGUGUAGCAGUGAAAUGCGUAGAGAUGUGGAGGAAUACCGAUGGCGAAGGCAGCCCCCUGGGCCAAUACUGACGCUCAUGCACGAAAGCGUGGGGAGCAAAC
rnacentral:rRNA from 1 species